rfam:Salmo salar isolate Sally breed double haploid chromosome ssa04, whole genome shotgun sequence.
UCCCGUGUAGCUCUGUUGGUAGAGCAUGGUGCUUGAAAUGCCAGGGUUGUGGGUUCAAUUCGCAUGUGGGAC